UCCAGGAAACAACCAUACCCCCAGCACAAGUGUAGGGAUGAGGAUAAGGCACCAUGGUGUUAAGGUGAUGAGAUUCCCACUAUAAACAGGUGGUGCUUUAUGGGAGAGGGCUGCUGUUGUGUUUGCAUAUUGUAUUUUCUAAAGAGAGGAAAAUACAUAUCUGUGCAAUUCUACCAGCAGAAAUUUUUUCCCUCUGCCUGUGGGCACCUGAGUGCCCCUUAUGGAAUUGCAUGAGCGAAUGAAAAGGCACUGAGAAACAAGUAUUGCUAGGCACUGAUGAAAUACAUCCCGUGCUAUAUAUUCUUGGAUUAAUUUUGGCUAAAAUUAUCACGGGCUGCUUUCACAAUGUGAAAAAAUAAAUCUGGAAUUAUUGUAUUUAAAACAGAGAGAAAAUGGCAGAUGUUGGCUGCACACAAAUGAGAUUGUGCCUAUACGUACACCAUUUCAGACAGAUAUAUGUGAACUCUUUGUCAGUAGAAUAAGCAUUAAGGCAUCUACAGACACAUUAGCCUGUAAGUGUGGUAUGUGAACCUACUUUUGAGCGUGUACCUGCAUAUGUCCAUGACCCAUCCCAUCACAUAGGGUUGCAUUAGCAGUUCUGCAGCCCAAAUGCUACAGGAAGACACUCCUGGCUACACCCAGACAGAAAUAUACACGGGCACAAAGUGUGCAUUCUGCUCAGUGAUCUGGAGAUGCAACAUUUUGCUAUCCUAACUCAUUAUCAUGUUCAUUAUCAGAAUCAGCCCUGCGAUGCGCUCAUUUCUGGGCUGGAAUAACUAUAUUGCAGGAAUGAGAAAGCAUAAAGCUGACACAGUAAGGUUUACCAAUGUGAUGUUAGAGAUGUUCUCAGCCCCCUACAUCUACAUCCAUCACACUGAAACGCCCAUGGAUCCCUAUUCUGAACUCACAUACCCUCCUUCCCCAGGCGUACACAGGAACAAACCCACACACACCCUUACUGACAUCUUCCCCACUGACCCCCUGCCAAGACCUCAGCUGCCACGUGUUUAUUCCCACACACUCUCUUCCACAGAUUCAGGUUUUUAAACAAUUCACGUGGCAAUGCUCACUAUUUCCCCGAAGUCAGAACUAAGUCCCAGAAAGCUGCCAGAGGUUUAGAAGCUAAGCCAGCCAUGCACAGCUCCGGUGCUGCUGACAUUACCAGACGGCAUUAAUUUAAUUCCACUCAGUUAUGCUUUUAAAUUUGAUUUGAAAAAUGUGUCAUAAAAUACCAUUGAGAAGUGCAGCGCAGCAUUUUGAAGCAGGCUGUGAUGUUCCCUGCACUGACAAAGUCAUGGAGAAGGGAAAGUAAUUUUCACAGCUAAGUACUGGGGGGCAUGUUGGGAGAGAUUCCCUUAGAGAAUGGGUUGAGUGAAUCAAGAAUCACAGAUAAACAUUAUAUCCACUAAAUAUUUCCAUGGUGUGGCAGUUCCAGAGAACUCUGAUUUAAUGCUUUAAGGCCAAGGGUUGAUGGAGAAAGAAAAGAUACAUGCUAAGCCUUCCAAAUCAGUGGGCAUACCCAGAGAGGAGAAGAGGGAAGGAGACCGAGAAGGAAGCAUUUCCAUAAAUAUAUGGGCUUGUAGAAGAGAGCUCUGGAGAAUCGUUAAGGCUUAUGUUAAUUAUGUAAAAAUGCAGAAUACUAACAAUGAAGAAAUAUGGUUUUGUUUUGCCCCUGAGGCAUUGCUACCCACCUCAAUUCCUUAUGAAGCCGGGGUGAGCUUGCUCUGGUGCCCACGCCACAGGCCACUUCCUUCUCACUGCUCUGUAACAUCUCUGUGAGCACGUAUUAGAUUCCUUUUGCCUUCUUGGUUUUGCAAAGCAGAGCCUUUUCUUCCACUUCCAUGGGCAGCCUAUUUGCUUGGAGCUGUGCACUACCUGCACACGGUGCUGGCUUGUUGCUGCAGCUGGCACACCGCUCUGCACAUCCAACCUGGGAACAAAAGAGCAGAUGGUCUUACGGAAAGGGCUGUGCUGGAAACAACUUCUGCUCCUAUCCAAAAACUCAGUUUCUUUUUCCUCCUUUCCAAAUCUGAGUGUUAUUCUAAAAAAGCCAAAAUUGCUGGCGGACAGUUUGUAAGACAAAAAGUGAUUUGAGUCAAUCAAAAAGUUUUAUUUCAAUCAUGACUGUGUUUCAGCGUCGUUUUGAAACUGUCACCACCGCAGACAAAAUAGUAAUUGGGGAGUUGUGCUUUUCUCAAACGACAUAUCAACAUGUCUGAAAAAUAUAUUUAGGAAAAUUUAGAAACAGAUUUGUGCAAAACCUCGUGCUAUCCCAGAAGGCUCUUCCCUGUGGCUAACAUGGGCCCCAUACCCCUGGUCCUGAUCUUGGUGGGGCCUUGGGCAAGGGAUGGGGCUGACGUGCUCUGGUGCCAGCCCUGCUCAGGUCCUGCCAUGCUCAUCAGGGUUCCCUGCCUCCUCCCGUGCUCUGCGUUUGCAGGGAUGAGCCUCUUGUCACAGUGCACUGCCUGGCAGCAAAAAGCAUAACAGUGAAUGUAUCUGAGCAGCUCUGCUUUGGAUGCUUGUGUCAGCCCUACAAAGAUGGGCUGUGCUGCCUUCACCUCUUCAAUCCAACCCUAACCCAGAGCUCAUGGAAGGCAGCUGUAGGAGAUGCUCGAAGUUCUCAUUUUCUAAAGAACUGUCCCUUCACAUCUCUCCCUUCUUUCAGCACUUUUCCUCUCCACUGUCAUUUUCUCACUUCCAUUCCCAAAGGCUGACAGAGCAGGAUGGAGUGGGUGACCGUGAUGUAAGCAAGCACUGAGUAGCAUGCAAGCUCUGGGCCGGCCUCUGAGCACCUGCAGCAGCCCUUGCUGAGCAACCCAUCAGCUGGUGGGCCGGGCUGCUGGCUGGCACUGAGCAUGGCACGGCCCCGCAGUGCCCACUGAUGCACUCCUUAGCACCUUUGCAGUGCAUCUGAAGGGAGGUGGUGCGGUGUGGCUCAAAACCCAGAAAACAAAAAAGAAAAAAAAAGAUGCAGAGAGUCAGUCUGAAGCUGUGGAAUUGGAUCUUGAGUUGGGGUUUGCUAAAGAACAUACAGAGCAUAAGGUGCUCUAUGUGUUGCUGAAGGAUGCGGUGGGAGCCCAGCACCUAACUCAGCUGAAACGCUCUCCCCGGUGAGCUGAGCAGUGCAGUGCUGCUCCUGGGCCCUGGUGGCAGCAGCACAAGGACACCUGGGACAGGCUGGGGCACACAGGCAGCACUCAUGGCUCGUGAACUUCAAGAGGCCUGCUCUCAAAGCUGAAACACAUCCUAAUUUCUCCAUUGCUAAGGACCCUUAGACAGGGGAUGCACAAAAAAAAAAAAAAAAAAAAAAAAAGGUUAUUUGGAAACUUAUUUUUCCCCUCCAGGGUAUUAACACAAGCUUUACAAAGGCUUAUAAUCCCUUUAGACAACAGCAGCAAGAGCAGCAGCAACUACAAAGCCCUGAGCCUGGAACUCAAUCCCCUGGUGACGGGCUGAACCCUCUGCUGAGGUUGCAAGGAAGAGAAAGGUGUGAAGAUAUUUACAUCAAACACAUGGAACAAGAGGGGAUUUUAAUCAAACUUUUCUUUUUCAUCUGUGCUUUCUUCUCUUGGAAUCUGCUUUUUCUUUAUCCUGAUGAAUUUCACCGCUUGCUUUUUUUCUUUCUUUCUUUCUUUCUUUUUUUUUUUUUUUCCCCUUCCGUAGAAAGGAGGAUUUAAAAAAAAAAUCACAAUCCCCCCUGAAAAACUCUGAGUAUUAAAACUGCGGGGCAAUGCAUCUCCAAAAUCUAUAAGACUGUAAGAAGAUAAGAGACAAAACCCCACAGAAAUGUUUCCUCUCUGUGUCUUUGGAAGUUGCAGACGCGUGUAUAAUACCCCUAAGCCGGGGUAAUCUGCUUGCCUCCUCCUGCCUUUCCUGAUGCACACGGAUGUACUUAGCAUUAAUAUUCCUCACACUACAGCAAAUGAACACCCAGGAGGCAGCUGACUCAAUCAGUGCUUGUUUUACUUACUGUGUAUCACUGAGAAAAGACCAUAAACUAGAGCACGACAGAUCUGUAAUGCUCAUUUCAAUAUGCUUCCCCUGUUUGUUCCAGCCCUGAUGAACUUUCAUAUCCAGCCAAAAAAAAAAAAAGAAAGAAAGAAAGAAAAAAGAAUUAAGAAAUAUAUUACAACAAACGCAUUAGCAACGUGUGGUAAAUUACCGUUGGAGAUUCCAGUUCCUCAUGGUAGGAGCAUUUGUGGAUAAACACAUUUGUUUGCUCCAUUUUUCCAGCGUGAGAUUAUUCACUCGACGAUGUCACGACUCCCAAGUCUGAUGUCAUGGCUGUUUCCACAGCAACCAAAUGGAAUCAAGGACAGCUUUGAAACCAGGAAUUAGAAACCAAGAGGAACUCAUACAGAGUGGCAACACAACACAGGAGUGCCGUGAAGCAAACCAUGCCCUGCACACGGCCCAGGGUCUCAACACUCCCAGCUGGCGCAGUGCUUUCUCAGUGAGGAAUAGUGCAGCGUUGGAAGCUCAGCACCUUGGCAUUGCUGUGCUUUCUGAAUCCUGAGUGAAGGAUGCAAAAAUGUGGUGGCACUGCAGGACUGAUCCCUCUGGGGACUGGGAGAGGCUCCUGCCUGAUGGGUGCGCAAUUGCUGAUGCUGUGAGAAGUGCUUGGCAGCAACUGGGUCAGGAUAAAGAGCAAGCAGUGUUACUACUGCCUACUGUGGGGCAAGGAGGAGGAACUUGGCAGAACCCCAGGACCUGGCAGCACACUCCUGGCAGUUCAGGACCCACUACUUGCACCAAGGGUGCGCCAUUCUCCAAAUCACUGCUGCUCACAACACUCCUAAAGGUAAACUUGACUUGUGUUACUGUGUCCAUCGUUUGGGUACCCUGGAGGAAUCACUCCAGCUCUGUUCAACACCUGCGGCUGCAUAUGGACUUCUAAUUAGAAGAUGAAAAAAGAAGAGCAGCAUCAAGGGAAUCAAUCUCUUGGGACGUCCUGUGGUCUGAAUGUACAUCUUGUAUUGCUGAGAUAGGAGCUGGGGAUGCGGUGUGUAAAGAUGUGAAUUUUACAAGGAAAAAGAAUCAUCCAGGAGACCUCUGGGAAAUCACAGAAUGUGUGUACACCUCAUGGUCUCCUAGGAAAGCUGGCCUUCAGUAGAAAUUUUGCCAAGGUUUUGAAAGAUUUUAUUAGAAAAGAUUUGGAUCCUGCACAAUUAUCAGUUCUGAAAGGUGCUUUGCCCACCUCCUCCAGUGGAAGUGCUAUUGAUCAUCUCACAAAAGGAAGGCAUGCACUUACAGAGAGAAAAGUUGAGCACUGUUCUGCUUGGCCAGAUGAGCCACUGUUCUGCUCCAAUGCCUUGCACCGAGGGAAGUCACAUCCCAUGAGAGAGCUGACUCUUUUUGGAGCCAUCACCUCAUUUCCUAUGCUGUGUGAUGCCUUCAGCCUCAGCCAUGGGGAAUGUGAUGCGCACCAGUGUUGACAGACUGGCCGGAAGACUGAGGUGUGAGACAAACCCAUGAGCUUCACACAGCCCAGCCGGAUCUAGACCAGCACGUGUGCAGCUACAUUUUCCUCUACCCUGAAGGACAAAAGAAUUGAUCCAUGACAUCUCAUCUUCAUCCCACCUCCAAAUGUCAUCCAGCCAUGCUGCAACAGCUUUACUGCACAGAAGCUCCACAUCACAGUUGUGAUGAUGUGCCAUUACACUUUGGUGGCAUGUCACCAGAUCAGGAACUCAUGAGGUAAGCUUCCUAUGCUGAUGGUGUAUCUGUGCUAAACUUCCUUCCAAAUUCUUAGUCUGAUUUUCAGCACUCCAACUUCAUUAUCCCAGCUAUGGUGGAAAUGCUUGUCCAUGUCAGGCAACCCAUCUCCAACCCCUCUGCUGUAUACCAUGGCUUUGGUCAUGUCUGGACAGCAGUGAUUUAAAGCUCUGUUGGUCCCCAGUGUCUUGUUUAACGUUCCUGGUGUUGCCCUCCUUGUCGAAGCCCAGUAUAAUUGGGGCUGAUCAUGCCCAGGCAUCAUUAGAAAUACGUGAGAGCAAUCAAUUUGAUCUCUAACAGUCCCACGAACACCAAGCAAGAUUUAGCUCAUGUGUUGUUAGCUACCCACGAGAUCUGAGAUUUAAUUGCAACUUCUCUGGCUGCUAGUCACUAGAGCUGGAUACAUAUCUCAUAGGAAAGCAAUUUAUCGAAUUAAUUUCACUUUAUGUGAGCACGUUCACUAUUCCCAGCCACGAACAGAUCCCAUCAUUGAAUGCAGACUGCAUCUCAGUCUAUAGGUUGCUCAUAAGCAGUAGUCAGUAUUUUUGGAGUAAUAACUAUAGUUCUUAUUCAGUGUCAGCUCCUCAGGUCAUACAUGUAAAUUAAACAGUAUAUUUGUAUUCCCUGCUUGGAUGGAUGAAACUGCCAGGAACAUUAUUUUCACUCAUAAUUACUAAUUUGACAUUCAUUUCCCAUGAAUACUCUUCACUAUUUGCUUAAAACUAGCUUCCAUGCAUACCAUUGCCAAUGAAUUUUCCCUCUUUGGAAAACUGACGUGGAAAUGUCACAGCUAUAAAGAAACUUCUGAAUGGUGGGGGGCUAUAAGCAUGAAACUGCUAUGCAAAGAAAGACCAAUAAAAAAUAAUAAUAAAAAAACAAAUGAACUAAUUAAGAAAAAGGCAACUUUGCAAUCUCUUGCAGGGUCUGAUCAGUAAAUACAGAAAGAGAUCUCAGUGUGUUUUGGGGAAAACACAAAGUCACAGGUUACUACCAGCUGAAAUGGAUGAAUGUCCCUAGAAAUGCCUCUGUUGAAUUCACUCAGAUCUUCUUCAGGCUCAUGCAUAUCCCCUCUUUUUGGUGGACACACAAGGACUAAUGUGUUCUUUUAUGGCCAGGAUUCUACUUUUUGUUUUCUUACUAACUAGACAGAUAGUUUCUUGUAUGCCCUCAAUCAUUUGUUCCGCAGGAGAGUUCAGUGAAUAUUUAUUUUCCUCAAGGUAUCCAACUCCUUCUCAGCUUUGAUUUGCAUCAACCAAAACCUCUCAAAUUGAACAAAACCCGAAGCCAAACUUAAUUGCCUAAGUCCCUGGAGUCGUAUGAGUAACACCACAAUGCAUUUAGCUCUUUCCAGAAGAACUGAUGUUAUUCUAAGAAUCCACAGAUAAGGUCAAAACCUGCACAGUUUGGAACUUGGCUGAACCACCAUGUUAAGUCUUGAGCCAGAACUGAAUCUGGGGUGUUGGGUCAAGGCCUCCUGCUCAGCCCCGCUUUUCCACAGGAUGCUCCUCCAGCUCUACAAGUCUGAAGGAUGAGAGUUUUGUUUAUUCCUUCGGAAAGGCCAGAACUGUCACCAGCAGUUUUGACAAAGAAUUUUCACUAAAAACAGUGAAAUUAAGAGAAAUAACCCACUACUCUCCUCCCAUUGUGUUCAGGCUUUAUCACCAGCUCAGCUGAUCCUACAUUCAUACGUUCUGCCCUAAAUAUAUCCAAACACACACACACACUGCAAAACUUUACACAGCUUUUGGUUAUUUCAGGUUUUUUGUCUGUCUGAUAACUCAACCCUUUUAAAUCUAUCUUUGUAAACUGAGAGCAGAUUUUUGUGAGUUCUGGACAUACUGCAAUAAAUUUUUUCUCAUCUGUU